AGUGAACGCUGGCGGCGUGCUUAACACAUGCAAGUCGAACGAGAACGGAUUAUAGCUUGCUAUAAUUGUCAGCUAAGUGGCGCACGGGUGAGUAAUGUAUAGGUAAUAUGCCUCUUACUAAGGGAUAACAAAUGGAAACGUUUGCUAAUACCUUAUACUCCUUAUUAACAGAAGUUAAUAAGGGAAAGAUUUAUUGGUAAGAGAUUAGCCUGUAUUGUAUCAGUUAGUUGGUGGGGUAAUGGCCUACCAAGACUAUGACACAUAACUGGGUUGAGAGGAUGAUCAGUCACACUGGAACUGAGACACGGUCCAGACUCCUACGGGAGGCAGCAGUGGGGAAUAUUGCACAAUGGACGAAAGUCUGAUGCAGCAACGCCGCGUGGAGGAUGACACAUUUCGGUGCUUAAACUCCUUUUAUAUGAGAAGAUAAUGACGGUAUUAUAUGAAUAAGCACCGGCUAACUCCGUGCCAGCCGCCGCGGUAAUAC
rnacentral:rRNA from 1 species